rnacentral:rRNA from 1 species
AGACGGAGGGGGCUAGCGUUGUUCGGAAUUACUGGGCGUAAAGCGCGCGUAGGCGGUCCGUUUAGUUAGGCGUGAAAGCCCUGGGCUCAACCCGGGAACUGCGUUUAAUACUGGUAGACUUGAGUCCGGGAGAGGGUGGCGGAAUUCCCAGUGUAGAGGUGAAAUUCGUAGAUAUUGGGAAGAACACCAGUGGCGAAGGCGGCUACCUGGACCGGUUCUGACGCUGAGGUGCGAAAGCGUGGGUAGCAAACAGGAUUAGAUACCCUAGUAGUCC